AGGUUUGCUGGUUCAGCUGCUGCAGCCUGGACAGAAACACCAGCUUUCACCUUACAGACCAAACAGGUGUCACCCUUUUGUUCACAACAUCAUCCACAAUUGCAGAGAUGUUGUCCAUGACUGGAUGAGGGAGACAUUGCCCACGAUCAGGACAUUGUCCAUGACUCACAGAGACGUGUAAAAGUUGGUAGUGGCAGAGUUUCUUGAUUUGACAGCAUUGUCCGAGAUCAGAGAGAUAUUGUUGACGAUCACGCAGACAUUGUCCAUAAUCUCAGAGACAUUGUCUGCGAUCAGAGAGACAGUCCACGAUCUCAGAGCAGAGACAUUGUCCACAAUCGCAGAGACAUCGUCCAUGGUUGGAGAGGCAUUGUUGACAAUGAGGGAGAGAUUGUCCACAAUCAGAGACAUUGUCCAUUGUCUGCGGUCACAGAGAUGUAGUCCACAAUCGCAGAGACAUCAUCCACGAUGGCAGAGUCUUCGUACAAUGAGGAAGUUCUUUGAGACCAGGUGUCACCACUUCGUCCAUGACAUCGUCCACGAUCACAGAGACAUGGUCCAUGAUCGGAGAGACAUUGUUGAGGAUGAGGGAGACAUCGUCCAUGAUCAGAGAUAUUGUCCAUGAUCGCAGAGACCUUGUCAAAGAUGAGAGAGACGUUGUCCUUGAUCAGAGACAUUGUCCCAUGCUUCGUAGAGACCUUGCGAUAGAAUCGGCGGAGACGGGGGUCACCGAUUUGAAGGCAUUGCCCGCGAUCACGGAGACAUUGCUGAUGAUCACAGAGACACCGUCUAUGAUCUCAGAGACAUCGUCCACGGUCACAAAGACAUUGUCCAUGAUCACAGAGACUUUGUCAAUAAUCUCAGAGACAUUGUCCGCGAUCACAGAGACGUGGUCCAUGAUCACAGAGAGUCUUCGUACGAUGAAGAAGUUCUUUGAGACCAUACCAAUUUCAGUCACAAGGUGUCACCACUUCGUCCAUGACAUCGUCCACGAUCACAGAGACAUGGUCCAUGAUCGGAGAGACAUUGUUGAGGAUGAGGGAGACAUCGUCCAUGAUCAGAGAUAUUGUCCAUGAUCGCAGAGACCUUGUCAAAGAUGAGAGAGACGUUGUCCUUGAUCAGAGACAUUGUCCCAUGCUUCGUAGAGACCUUGCGAUAGAAUCGGCGGAGACGGGGGUCACCGAUUUGAAGGCAUUGCCCGCGAUCACGGAGACAUUGCUGAUGAUCACAGAGACACCGUCUAUGAUCUCAGAGACAUCGUCCACGGUCACAAAGACAUUGUCCAUGAUCACAGAGACUUUGUCAAUAAUCUCAGAGACAUUGUCCGCGAUCACAGAGACGUGGUCCAUGAUCACAGAGAGUCUUCGUACGAUGAAGAAGUUCUUUGAGACCAUACCAAUUUCAGUCACAAGGUGUCACCACUUCGUCCAUGACAUCGUCCACGAUCGCAGAGACAUGGUCCAUGAUCGGAGAGACAUUGUUGAGGAUGAGGGAGACAUCGUCCAUGAUCAGAGAUAUUGUCCAUGAUCGCAGAGACCUUGUCAAAGAUGAGAGAGACGUUGUCCUUGAUCAGAGACAUUGUCCCAUGCUUCGUAGAGACCUUGCGAUAGAAUCGGCGGAGACGGGGGUCACCGAUUUGAAGGCAUUGCCCGCGAUCACGGAGACAUUGCUGAUGAUCACAGAGACACCGUCUAUGAUCUCAGAGACAUCGUCCACGGUCACAAAGACAUUGUCCAUGAUCACAGAGACUUUGUCAAUAAUCUCAGAGACAUUGUCCGCGAUCACAGAGACGUGGUCCAUGAUCACAGAGAGUCUUCGUAUGAUGAAGAAGUUCUUUGAGACCAUACCAAUUUCAGUCACAAGGUGUCACUACUUCGUCCAUGACAUCGUCCACGAUCGCAGAGACAUGGUCCAUGAUCGGAGAGACAUUGUUGAGGAUGAGGGAGACAUCGUCCAUGAUCAGAGAUAUUGUCCAUGAUCGCAGAGACCUUGUCAAAGAUGAGAGAGACGUUGUCCUUGAUCAGAGACAUUGUCCCAUGCUUCGUAGAGACCUUGCGAUAGAAUCGGCGGAGACGGGGGUCACCGAUUUGAAGGCAUUGCCCGCGAUCACGGAGACAUUGCUGAUGAUCACAGAGACACCGUCUAUGAUCUCAGAGACAUCGUCCACGGUCACAAAGACAUUGUCCAUGAUCACAGAGACUUUGUCAAUAAUCUCAGAGACAUUGUCCGCGAUCACAGAGACGUGGUCCACAAUCACAGAGAGUCUUCGUACGAUGAAGAAGUUCUUUGAGACCAUACCAAUUUCAGUCACAAGGUGUCACCACUUCGUCCAUGACAUCGUCCACGAUCGCAGAGACAUGGUCCAUGAUCGGAGAGACAUUGUUGAGGAUGAGGGAGACAUCGUCCAUGAUCAGAGAUAUUGUCCAUGAUCGCAGAGACCUUGUUAAAGAUGAGAGAGACGUUGUCCUUGAUCAGAGACAUUGUCCCAUGCUUCGUAGAGACCUUGCGAUAGAAUCGGCGGAGACGGGGGUCACCGAUUUGAAGGCAUUGCCCGCGAUCACGGAGACAUUGCUGAUGAUCACAGAGACACCGUCUAUGAUCUCAGAGACAUCGUCCACGGUCACAAAGACAUUGUCCAUGAUCACAGAGACUUUGUCAAUAAUCUCAGAGACAUUGUCCGCGAUCACAGAGACGUGGUCCAUGAUCACAGAGAGUCUUCGUAAGAUGAAGAAGUUCUUUGAGACCAUACCAAUUUCAGUCACAAGGUGUCACUACUUCGUCCAUGACAUCGUCCACGAUCGCAGAGACAUGGUCCAUGAUCGGAGAGACAUUGUUGAGGAUGAGGGAGACAUCGUCCAUGAUCAGAGAUAUUGUCCAUGAUCGCAGAGACCUUGUCAAAGAUGAGAGAGACGUUGUCCUUGAUCAGAGACAUUGUCCCAUGCUUCGUAGAGACCUUGCGAUAGAAUCGGCGGAGACGGGGGUCACCGAUUUGAAGGCAUUGCCCGCGAUCACGGAGACAUUGCUGAUGAUCACAGAGACACCGUCUAUGAUCUCAGAGACAUCGUCCACGGUCACAAAGACAUUGUCCAUGAUCACAGAGACUUUGUCAAUAAUCUCAGAGACAUUGUCCGCGAUCACAGAGACGUGGUCCACAAUCACAGAGAGUCUUCGUACGAUGAAGAAGUUCUUUGAGACCAUACCAAUUUCAGUCACAAGGUGUCACCACUUCGUCCAUGACAUCGUCCACGAUCGCAGAGACAUGGUCCAUGAUCGGAGAGACAUUGUUGAGGAUGAGGGAGACAUCGUCCAUGAUCAGAGAUAUUGUCCAUGAUCGCAGAGACCUUGUUAAAGAUGAGAGAGACGUUGUCCUUGAUCAGAGACAUUGUCCCAUGCUUCGUAGAGACCUUGCGAUAGAAUCGGCGGAGACGGGGGUCACCGAUUUGAAGGCAUUGCCCGCGAUCACGGAGACAUUGCUGAUGAUCACAGAGACACCGUCUAUGAUCUCAGAGACAUCGUCCACGGUCACAAAGACAUUGUCCAUGAUCACAGAGACUUUGUCAAUAAUCUCAGAGACAUUGUCCGCGAUCACAGAGACGUGGUCCAUGAUCACAGAGAGUCUUCGUAAGAUGAAGAAGUUCUUUGAGACCAUACCAAUUUCAGUCACAAGAAGACGCCGUCGACAGCAGCUGAAGACCUGAAGUGGAUGAAAGAAAACAAAAGUGUUACAAGGUUGUUAAUUGGAUAGAAGACCUCCACCAUCUAACUGCUGUAAACCGUGUUAGUUUGCUGUUGUUUAAGUGAAAACACAGUUUUCCAAAGACUACCAUGUCUUUAUCAAGCACCUGUGAGAAUAUUCAACUGCUUAUGAUACAACUAUUUAAUUAAUAAUUGUAUCACAAGCAGGUAAAUGAGCCAAUGUUUAGUAGACAUGUUCAUCUUUGGAAAAUGUUCUCAUAACUAGUUUAACCCUAACCAGCUCUAACAAGUGUUUCCUUGUGGUCAAAUGUCUGUCAUUAUCUCUGCUAUGAUGAUGUGUUAU